UACGUAGGUGACAAGCGUUGUCCGGAUUUACUGGGCGUAAAGAGCGCGCAGGCGGUCGAUCAAGUCGAGUGUGAAAGCCCCCGGCUCAACUGGGGAGGGUCAUUCGAUACUGAUCGACUCGAAGGCAGGAGAGGGUAGUGGAAUUCCCGGUGUAGUGGUGAAAUGCGCAGAUAUCAGGAGGAACACCGGUGGCGAAAGCGGCUCCUGGACCAGUACCGACGUCAGGCACGAAAGCGUGGGGAGCAAACAGG
rnacentral:rRNA from 1 species